CAGUAGCCGCGGUAAUACGAAGGGGGCUAGCGUUGUUCGGAUUUACUGGGCGUAAAGCGUGCGUAGGUGGUGGUUUAAGUCCGUUGUGAAAGCCCUGGGCUCAACCUGGGAAUUGCAGUGGAUACUGGGUCACUAGAGUGUGGUAGAGGAUAGUGGAAUUUCCGGUGUAGCAGUGAAAUGCGUAGAGAUCGGAAGGAACAUCUGUGGCGAAGGCGACUAUCUGGGCCAACACUGACACUGAGGCACGAAAGCGUGGGGAGCAAACAGGAUUAGAUACCCGAGUAGUCCCUGUCUCUUAUAC
rnacentral:rRNA from 1 species